rnacentral:rRNA from 1 species
UACGUAGGGUGCGAGCGUUGUCCGGAUUUAUUGGGCGUAAAGGGCUCGUAGGCGGCUUGUCGCGUCGGGAGUGAAAGCCCGCUGCUUAACGGCGGGUUUGCUUUCGGUACGGGCAGGCUGGAGUACGGCAGGGGAGACUGGAAUUUCCGGUGUAGCGGUGAAAUGCGUAGAUAUCGGAAGGAACACCAGUGGCGAAGGCGACUUCCUGGACAGAUACUGACACUGAGGCACGAAAGCAUGGGGAGCAAACAGG